ensembl:lncRNA
AUUAAUCUUUAGUUUUGCCUACGGAGAGCGACAUGGCUUCGCAGGUGGCGCCUACGGUCCACGUCACACAUUCAAACGUGUCCAACCACAGAAGCGCCAGCUGCAGGUCUGCAGGGGCAGACGCAGAGAGAAGGGAUGACAGGAGGAAACAUGCUGAGAACACGCCAGCGGAGCCGCGGGGAGGAGCGGGCAGGCCCUCCACCGAGAUAGCACCAAGAGCCGGACCAGCGCUUGACAGACGAGGGCCCUCCAGACAAAAAAUAGACGAUGGUGAAAAUCCUCACUUCGCCACAGCACACGACAGAUUCUCAGGCAGAGCCACGGGUGUUUUCUGGCCCCUCCCACACAACACAUGAUGGUCCAGGCUGGAGUUUAUCACGUAUGUUUUUAUUGAAGCACUGAUAGUGUUCACAAAGCUGCUUCAGUUUUACAUAAAUGGCUGCCGGUGCCAUGGACACGAUAGACUACAAGAAAAGUAACAUCAUUUUUUUAAAGUGUUGCUAAUGACGUUAACAACGUUGUGUUCAGCCAUCACUGUGAGCAUUGUGUGCUCUUCAGCGAGCCACAGUUAAUGUUAUAGAUCACACCUGGGCCUCAUCUCUGCUGCUCUGACCAGUCAGAGGCCUGAACCCAACGCUACGCUAACAGACGUUAAGGCACGUUCCGGUGAGUAGGGGUAUUACAUUAUGGGUAUACGUUACAUUAUUUUCUCCCAGAACCCCAAAACUGCACUGACUUUUUGUUUUUACACAUUAACAGCACAUUUUCCAUAAAAAUAUCAAUGAUAAUAUUAAGAAAACUAAAACCCAACUGAAACAAUGUGAAUAUGGUUUACAGGUCCACGGUGUCAAUGCGGAGCCUUGCACCCCCUUAAGGCAUGGGGGAAUAAGACAAACUAGAAUCUAAGAAAACAGAGCGUCACAUCGGGCUAUAAUCACCCAGCAUCUUAAAUAAGUUGGUAAACACACAUUUUCUUCAAAGUCCUCUGUCUUCUCUGAGGGGAUGAUGGUCUGUUGACAGUUUCUGGGAGGGAUUUCUGCUGGGAGGGACAGCACACAAAUCCUCUUUACCAAGGGCCCUCUGGAAACAGUGGAUGGCUCCUUCUGGUAAUACAAAUACAGCCAACUAUCAGCGGCUGUAGAGAUGCC